rnacentral:rRNA from 1 species
UGGGGAAUCUUGCACAAUGGGGGAAACCCUGAUGCAGCGACGCCGCGUGAGCGAUGAAGGUUUUCGAAUCGUAAAGCUCUGUCCUAUGGGAAGAUAAUGACGGUACCAUAGGAGGAAGCCCCGGCUAACUACGUGCCAGCAGCCGCGGUAAUACGUAGGGGGCGAGCGUUGUCCGGAAUUACUGGGCGUAAAGGGUUCGCAGGCGGCAUGACAAGUCCGAUGUAAAAGGCGAAAGCUCAACUUUCGUAAGCAUCGGAAACUGUCAAGCUUGAGUGAAGGAGAGGCAAGUGGAAUUCCUAGUGUAGCGGUGGAAUGCGUAGAUAUUAGGAGGAAUACCGGUGGCGAAGGCGACUUGCUGGACUUCAAGUGACGCUGAGGAACGAAAGCGUGGGUAGCAAACAGG